AGAAUAUAAGAACUUGUCUCUUAACUUUUAACUAAAAAAAUUAAGAACCGGCUCUUAAAACUCUUAUUUAAGAACCGGUUCUUAGCUUUUUUAGUUAAAAGUUAAGAGAGGGGUUCUUAUAUUCC
rfam:Brassica oleracea var. oleracea cultivar TO1000 chromosome C3, whole genome shotgun sequence